rnacentral:rRNA from 3 species
AAUCCAUAGGUUAAUGAGGCGAACCGGGGGAACUGAAACAUCUAAGUACCCCGAGGAAAAGAAAUCAACCGAGAUUCCCCCAGUAGCGGCGAGCGAACGGGGAGGAGCCCAGAGCCUGAAUCAGCAUGUGUGUUAGUGGAAGCGUCUGGAAAGGCGCGCGAUACAGGGUGACAGCCCCGUACACAAAAGCGCAUGUGCUGUGAGCUCGAUGAGUAGGGCGGGACACGUGGUAUCCUGUCUGAAUAUGGGGGGACCAUCCUCCAAGGCUAAAUACUCCUGACUGACCGAUAGUGAACCAGUACCGUGAGGGAAAGGCGAAAAGAACCCCGGCGAGGGGAGUGAAAAAGAACCUGAAACCGUGUACGUACAAGCAGUGGGAGCACCCUUUGGGGUGUGACU